rnacentral:rRNA from 1 species
GUGUCAGCAGCCGCGGUAAUACCGGCAGCCCAAGUGAUGGCCGAUCUUAUUGGGCCUAAAGCGUCCGUAGCUGGCUGAACAAGUCCGUUGGGAAAUCUGUCCGCUUAACGGGCAGGCGUCCAGCGGAAACUGUUCAGCUUGGGACCGGAAGACCUGAGGGGUACGUCUGGGGUAGGAGUGAAAUCCUGUAAUCCUGGACGGACCGCCAAUGGCGAAAGCACGUCGCGAGGACGGAUCCGACAGUGAGGGACGAAAGCCAGGGUCUCGAACCGGAUUAGAAACCCCCG